rnacentral:rRNA from 1 species
UACAGAGGGAGCAAGCGUUGUUCGGAAUUACUGGGCGUAAAGGGCGCGUAGGCGGUCUUGUAAGUCCUGAGUGAAAUCCCUCGGCUCAACUGGGGAACUGCACGGGAAACUGCUUGGCUUGAGUUCGGGAGAGAGAAUCGGAAUUCCGGGUGUAGCGGUGAAAUGCGCAGAUAUCCGGAGGAACACCGGUGGCGAAGGCGGCUUCCUGGACCGAAACUGACGCUGAGGCGCGAAAGCUAGGGGAGCAAACGUG